rnacentral:rRNA from 1 species
GAUGAACGCUGGCGGCGUGCCUAAUACAUGCAAGUCGAGCGAACUGAUUAGAAGCUUGCUUCUAUGACGUUAGCGGCGGACGGGUGAGUAACACGUGGGCAACCUGCCUGUAAGACUGGGAUAACUUCGGGAAACCGAAGCUAAUACCGGAUAGGAUCUUCUCCUUCGUGGGAGAUGAUUGAAAGAUGGUUUCGGCUAUCACUUACAGAUGGGCCCGCGGUGCAUUGGCUAGUUGGUGAGGUAACGGCUCACCAAGGCAACGAUGCAUAGCCGACCUGAGAGGGUGAUCGGCCACACUGGGACUGAGACACGGCCCAGACUCCUACGGGAGGCAGCAGUAGGGAAUCUUCCGCAAUGGACGAAAGUCUGACGGAGCAACGCCGCGUGAGUGAUGAAGGCUUUCGGGUCGUAAAACUCUGUUGUUAGGGAAGAAUAAGUACAAGAGUAACUGCUUGUACCUUGACGGUACCUAACCAGGAAGCCACGGCUAACUACGUGCCAGCCGCCGCGGUAA